GGACGAACGCUGGCGGCGUGCCUAAUACAUGCAAGUAGAACGCUGAAGAGAGGAGCUUGCUCUUCUUGGAAGAGUUGCGAACGGGUGAGUAACGCGUAGGUAACCUGCCUUGUAGCGGGGGAUAACUAUUGGAAACGAUAGCUAAUACCGCAUAACAAUGGAUGACACAUGUCAUUUAUUUGAAAGGGGCAACUGCUCCACUACAAGAUGGACCUGCGUUGUAUUAGCUAGUAGGUGAGGUAACGGCUCACCUAGGCGACGAUACAUAGCCGACCUGAGAGGGUGAUCGGCCACACUGGGACUGAGACACGGCCCAGACUCCUACGGGAGGCAGCAGUAGGGAAUCUUCGGCAAUGGGGGCAACCCUGACCGAGCAACGCCGCGUGAGUGAAGAAGGUUUUCGGAUCGUAAAGCUCUGUUGUAAGUCAAGAACGAGUGUGAGAGUGGAAAGUUCACACUGUGACGGUAGCUUACCAGAAAGGGACGGCUAACUACGUGCCAGCAGCCGCGGUAAU
rnacentral:rRNA from 1 species